rnacentral:lncRNA from 1 species
GCUCAAAAGGUCCUGCUUUGUCYACAGGUCUGGGAAGGUUGGUAGGAGGAGACAAUGUGUCUCAAAGGUUCUCAAGAAGUUCAGCAGCUGUCAGCUCUUGAAUAAGACUAUAUAUACUGAAUUCAGRAAAAAUAUUCUGGUAUGGAAAGUUAUUCAGGCAUAAAAUAGUCUGCAAGAGCUGGCUGUGAGUAGAGAAUUAAAACACCUGACUGCUGUUCUAAGGUCUACUGGGAGAACUAGGAUCUGAAGGCUUUUGGGGACUUGGAGCCCUCUUUGUCCAGCCUCAAACACGGAAAGGACCCAUGGGUGUGAAGGGCCAUAGAAGCCAUGGAGUAGAAAACAAAGGCAAGAAAGAUAAAGGAAUUGGAUAUUCCUGUGUGACUUUACAGCAGAGGAUGACAGAACUAUGAUUACAGGCCAAUUCAGAGCCUGUGAACCUCUUAAACGCCUUUACGAUGGAUGUGGACUGCAAACGCACCACGCAGAGGCCACCAAGGCUGCCACCGCUGCCACCCUGGGCUGGGCUCAAGCCAGUCCCAAGGGAACCUCUCCUGCGCCUUUAUCAGUCUCCGGGACUCCACAAACACAAGGUGGUGUUAUUUAUAUUCUAGCUCUUUUCUGCUUUUCCUUUUUAAAUUUCACCCUUUAUUUGUGA